GAUAACCAAAAAGAAUACUUGGACUAAGAGUAAGGUUUGUAAUUUUUCUUACAUCCCCACCUCCGGGUGCCCAUGUGUCAUAGACACCGCCAAAGUACACAGACUUUAAUACUAAAAGGAAAGCACCAGCACCCAAUAGUAUUAAAUGAAUACCUAGAAUAGUGGUCAUUUUACUCUUAUCCUUCCA
rnacentral:antisense_RNA from 11 species